AUGCUCAGUUUGGCAGCAUAUACACUAAAACUGGAACAAUAGAGAGAAGAUUGGCAUGGCCCCUGUGCAAGAAUGACAUGCAAAUUCAUGAAGCACUCCAUACUUUU
ensembl:snRNA U6 U6 spliceosomal RNA